AGAAACAGAAGAUAAUCCUGAUGAUCAGAGAGAAGAUAACAUUUCAGAAAAGAUUACUUUCAAAAUCAUCUGAAGAAUAUAUUUAUAACUCCAGAUUUAUUUUGGUUUUUUGGAAUCUUCCACCAAUAGAAGAAGAGAUGAGGCUACAUCCCCUGAUUCCAUUUUCUACCUGCAAGCCUCAAGGACACAUUUGAUACUGUUCUAAAGGGUCCCCAUCUACUUGAAGCAAAUUUCCAGGGAGGAGAAAGGAUCCAUAGGGAAAAUGAAAUUAGUAUAUUAAAGGGAACAUAGUUAGAUCACUAACUCCUGAAAAUAAAAGGGUAUGAUUGGAUUCCA